GGAGAGGACAAGGAACCUUCCUAUGACCUGUGGGCUCCCUGUGGUCUCCUUCUGACGGCUCUGCAGCAGACUAGUGAUGGCUAAAGAUCCCAGGACCCAUUUUGGUUGGUCAUGGUGCCAGCCUGGAAGGCUGAUAUGAUGGCUGGAACUUUGCAACCAUUUUGGACCAGGAGACAACCUUGAGGAUGACAGCUACACAUCUGGGUGUGAAGAAGAAAGCGAGGAGCUCACACCAUCAAGACACCAUGGGAUUGUCUUUUUGGUGCUGGGCUGCCUGGCUCCAGACGUCUUUAAACCACUGAGAUGUUGGGAUCUAUUGCAGUUGAACUUAACCCAAAACAUUAGAAAUUAUUGAAGGUAACAAGGAAGAUUCAGAGUUGAUCACUGAAUUUCCCACUCCCCUGAAAUGGUGGUGUUGGGGGGCCUACAGUAAAGUCAAGUUGAAUCUUCAGGCACCGGGGAGCACCCUGAACAGCCCUGGAGAUGUGUUCUGCUCGCGGUGGGAAGUGACGGCUGGCCACCAAGAACUGGGGACGACCCACCGUGGCUGCACCCGGUGCCCCGUGUCUCCCUCUCGCUUCACCCUGGAACCAGUGGCAUCUACGGGACAGUGGUCAGGAGGCGUGCAGGGACCCCGAGGAGCAAAGCUCGGAGAAGACCGUCCAGUCCUCAAGUUACCACAGGCAGCCAGGGACAGAGUGGCCCGACCCGGGGACCUGUGUGACCUCAGAGCUCGCGUUCUUCCCACGCGCCGUGAAACUGCACUCAGGUCAUUUCUCUCGGUAGAACGCAUGACACGGUGACAGCUGACCAGGCUUUGUGAGUGUCGCCCUGGCCAAGCGCCAAGCUGCAAAUCACACCAAAUCCCCACGGAAGCCAAAUAACCAGUGCCUUUGUGCGGCCUGCAACUCCAGCUGUGUCGGCUCAACCGGAUCUAUUGACGAGUC